UGCCUAGACCAGAAUCAGAUGCCUUCUAAAA
rnacentral:piRNA from 1 species